rnacentral:ncRNA from 1 species
AAUAAGCAAAAUAAGAGCGUAUGGGGAAUGCCUAGGCUCUCAGAGGCGAAGAAGGACGUGAUAAGCUGCGAUAAGCUGUGGGGAGAGGCACAUACUCUUUGAUCCGCAGAUUUCCGAAUGGGGCAACCCACUAUAUUGAAGAUAUAGUAUCCGCAAGGAGGCAAACCCGGAGAACUGAAACAUCUAAGUACCCGGAGGAAGAGAAAACAAAAGUGAUUGCGCUAGUAGCGG